AAGCCCCUUCGGGGGUAAGUAGAGUGGCGUCCGGGUGAGUAACACGUGGGUAAUCUGCCUUCGGGUGGGGAAUAACCCAGGGAAACUUGGGCUAAUACCGCAUAAUGCAGCGGCACCUAAUGGUGAUUAGUUGUUAAAGCGGGGGAUCGCAAGACCUCGCGCCUGAAGAGGAGCCUGCGGCAGAUUAGCUAGUUGGUGAGGUAAUGGCUCACCAAGGCUGCGAUCUGUAGCUGGUCUGAGAGGACGGCCAGCCACACUGGCACUGACACACGGGCCAGACUCCUACGGGAGGCAGCAGUGGGGAAUUUUGGGCAAUGGGCGAAAGCCUGACCCAGCAACGCCGCGUGAGGGAGGAAAUCCUUCGGG
rnacentral:rRNA from 1 species